CUCAGAACGUUUGAAAGUUUUGUUUUGAUCAUCUUCCAGAAAAUGAAAUUAUCUCAACGAAACACAACCUCUCUGAGACUAUAAAUCAAAUGUCUCAGGAAUAGGUUUUCUUGUAACACUUUUGACACUUCCUGGUCUCAGCCAAGUUGAAAAUGCCAAGAGAGCAGCCUUUGAACAGGAGUACAUGGAGGGACCCUCUCCUGUGUUCUGUUGAGAAGAUAUAGCACAGACUGAGAAGUCUCUUCAUACAGUGUCAAAAAGUGACCUUGCUCUCUUCAGCCCGCUGAAGUCUGCUGGAACCUGCCAUGAUUUCUUGUCUUUUGUUAUUGAGCUUCCUUCUGAGAGCCUGAGCUGCCUAAAGAGAGGAUACAGUGAUUUCUAGAGCUAUAACUGGUAGACACAAUUGCAACAGAAGAAAAAGAAAGACUGAGAUGGGAGGGCCACACUUUCUCAACAAGAACUGAUGUUCAGAAGG
ensembl:lncRNA